rnacentral:rRNA from 1 species
GAAACCGCUCAGAGGUAAACGGGUGGAUCCGCAAAGUCGGCCCGUGGAAUUCAGCGCGUGCGGGAGGGUCCGGGACAAGGGGCCGGGGAUCUUCGGACCCCGCCCCAUGCUCUCGACCGGGCCCGACGCCGCGUGCACUUUCCGCGGGCAGAGCGCAACGACCGGUUUCGCGGCGGCGAUUAGCCCGUUGCGGACGCGUGGCACGAUCUCACGGGUCGUGCUACGGCCGCACGCGGUGAGCCCGCUUGUCGGGACCGAGGAACGACCGCGCGCUUCGUGGCUGCCUGUGGCCUCGCCGUGGGAGUUCGACUGGCAGGGACCGGGUCAACCCCGUGCCUGCCGACCGCUCUCCGGCGCCGGUUCGGGACAGCCGGGCGCGUCACGGGGUCGGUGGCGAGUCUGUCGGCAUUCCACCCGACC